UCGGCCCGGAAUCGAUCCAGACCUCAACCCUUCAGGAUUCGUUCCGCGUCCUGGCGGCACGAGAGGCGGAGGCGAGGCGGCCUGGCGGCGCGAGUCCAGCGGAGGCGGCGGCGGCGGCGGCUGGCGGAUUCGGCUCCCCAGCGACCUCCUUCUCGCCGGAUCCAUGUGCUUUUGGAGGAGCCCCACGGGUGGAGGGCCGGGUAGUGCCGGCCGAUGUGGGCGUGGAGCGCGGCGCCGGCGCCGGAGAAGACGAGGAUGGAGGCCGCAUUUGUCAGGACGAGGAGCAGCACCACAGCCCUGGAUCUCCACCGUCGCUGCUGAUCUGAUCUGGGCUUCUUGGCGUUGUCUUAGUCCAUGCUCCUCCCCAUUCUCUUGAUGCAACACCAAGGUGCUCCGACGCAGUGGCAUGCCAUGGCGCGGCGGUGUUUAUAGGUUUUUGGAAAAGACUUCGUUGGUGUUAGGUUUUUCUCAAAAGGGUAAAUGGGACCGGAAGGACCUUCAGUUGUGACUGUCCAUGUUACUGGAUUUAAGAAGUUUCAUGGGGUUGCUGAGAACCCAACUGAGAAAAUUGUGACCAAUCUUAAAUCUUGGAACAAAGGAUACUAAUAACCAAUGUGAUAACCAUUUACCUCUGUUAGAUGAAAAAGACACAAAUUAGAUCUUUGUAAUUUUCUUUAACUCUUAUGAUUGUUAAUAUUGUUUUGGAACAAAGGAUAUUUAAUUUAACAAAAAAAUUAAGUCAGUUGUUCAUAGCUGAAUACCUGAAGAAAACCGAAGAAUGAAAACCUUAUUUCUCUUGGUAUUCAUCCCUCAUGAAUGUAUAGCAUCAAUUAGUGGUAACUGAUAGCUUUUCUGAAAACUGGAUUACUGGAAAUGAAAGGUCCAGUGUUGAGAAUACAAUCGAGAUUCAUUUUGCAUAUGAUUCAUAGCAUACUGUUAGCUAUUUCUUUGACUACGACAUCAUGGAACAGUAGAAAACCAGUGCGAACUCUCUGUGAUUCUUGAGAAAUGCCAUUUUAUACGUUUAAUGUUCUUUUACUGUCAAAUGGUUAGCAAACUCUUUGUCAUUGAUAAUCUAUUCUGUUGUCGAUCUAAUCGACAUCAGGCCAGGAUAAUUUUCAUGAGAUCUUCCCUCCAUUUAUCUGAGGUGAUUAUAUGCAUGCAGGCUUGCUGGUAUCCCAUGUGAGGUGACUGAAUCCAGUUUUGGUUGCUGUGAUGUUAUGUAUUACCACGGUCCAUGAUGUACUCUGCCAAUCAUAUGCUGUGCUGUGAUGGUUUCUGAUGGAGAAGGAUCCAUUGUUCUUUUGAAGCAUCUCAAUGCUGUGCUCCAAAUUGCCAUGCCAUGCAGACAAAGGUUUUUCUUUAUAAGAACAGACACAUGUUUGAAAAAAUCUUUGUACAGUUGAUAGUUGUGGUCGCUUGUGAUUAGCUUGACCUGUCAUCAACACUUCGAAAAAAAAUUCCACUCUUGUGUCUUUAGUCACCCGUGCAACAUGAUCUAUUGACUAUUGUAGUGUUCACUCGUCCUGCUGGUAUAACUAAGAUUGCCAGAUCAGCGUGAUUGAAUUUGGAGUGUAUUCGGUGGUAUGUAAUCAAUGGAUGUUCAUUCGGUGCAAACUCAUGGGACUUAUCCUGUCGAA